UGUGUACGUAGGUAGCGGGUCGUGGGUAAUUCGGAGGGGUUGUUGGUUAUCCUGAUUGAAGGUGUUUAAAGGGUGGGUGUGCGGGGGUUUAAGGCCUGGGUGAAAUCUGUGAGGGCAACGCAGAAACGGCCUUGUGUACUAUGUAGUUUGAAUAGCGGUGAGGGAGGCGGAAUAUUUGAGGUAGCGUUGAAAUGCAUAGAUAUGACAUAGAACACCAAUGGCGAAGGCAGCUUGCUAAACGAUGAUUGACGCUGAGGCACGAAAGCGUGGGGAUCAAACAGGAUUAGAUACCCCGGUAGUC
rnacentral:rRNA from 1 species